GACGAACGCUGGCGGCGUGCCUAAUACAUGCAAGUCGAACGCAGGGGGGACGGGUGAGUAACACGUGGGUAACCUCCCAUCAGAGGGGAUAACACUUGGAAACAGGUGCUAAACCGAUACUGAUGGAUGGACUCGGUGUGCAUUAGCUAGUUGGUGGGGUAACGGCUCACCAAGGCUACGAUGCAUAGCGGGUCUGAGAGGAUGACCGGCCACACUGGAACUGAGACACGGUCCAGACUCCUACGGGAGGCAGCAGUAGGGAAUAUUGGGCAAUGGACGCAAGUCUGACCGAGCCACGCCGCGUGAGUGAAGAAGGCUUUCGGGUCGUAAAACACUGUUGUUAGGGAAGCGGUAUCUACCCAGAAAGCCACGGCUAACUACGUGCCAGCAGCCGCGGUAAUAC
rnacentral:rRNA from 1 species